UUUUUCCAUUCGCUGAGUUCCAUUUAUGGGAACGGGGGAACCACUGUAAGCUGAAGAAGCAUGCUUCUUGAGUGAACAGAGUGAGUAACAGGGGUGAAUCUUUGAGCAUACUUCGUAUGCUCAUAGUAGGGCGACUCUCACGUCCGAAUCCGUCAGCUAACCUCGUAAGCGUAAGAGAGGUAACGA
rnacentral:sRNA from 2 species